rnacentral:rRNA from 1 species
UACGUAGGGGGCAAGCGUUAUCCGGAUUUACUGGGUGUAAAGGGAGCGUAGACGGUAAUGUAAGUCAGAUGUGAAAUCCAGGGGCUCAACCCCUGAACUGCAUUUGAAACUGUCGUUCUUGAGUACUGGAGAGGUUGACGGAAUUCCUAGUGUAGCGGUGAAAUGCGUAGAUAUUAGGAGGAACACCAGUGGCGAAGGCGGCUUUCUGGACUGAAACUGACGCUGAGGCACGAAAGCGUGGGGAGCGAACAGG